CCUAUGGGUGGCAGCAGUGGGGAAUAUUGGGCAAUGGGCGCAAGCCUGACCCAGCAACGCCGCGUGAAGGAAGAAGGCUUUCGGGUUGUAAACUUCUUUUCUCAGGGACGAAGCAAGUGACGGUACCUGAGGAAUAAGCCACGGCUAACUACGUGCCAGCAGCCGCGGUAAUACGUAGGUGGCAAGCGUUAUCCGGCUUUACUGGGUGUAAAGGGGGAGUAGGCGGGAUUGCAAGUCAGAUGUGAAAACCACGGGCUCAACCUGUGGCCUGCAUUUGAAACUGUAGUUCUUGAGUGCUGGAGAGGCAGACGGAAUUCCUAGUGUAGCGGUAAAAUGCGUAGAGAUUAGGAGGAACACCAGUGGCGAAGGCGAUCUGCUGGACAGCAACUGACGCUGAGGCGCGAAAGCGUGGGGAGCAAACAGGAUUAGAUACCCGUGUAGUC
rnacentral:rRNA from 1 species